UACGUAGGGUGCAAGCGUUGUCCGGAAUUAUUGGGCGUAAAGAGCUCGUAGGCGGUCUGUCGCGUCUGGUGUGAAAAUCCAGGGCUUAACCCUGGACCUGCAUCGGGUACGGGCAGACUAGAGUGCGGUAGGGGAGAUCGGAAUUCCUGGUGUAGCGGUGAAAUGCGCAGAUAUCAGGAGGAACACCAAUUGCGAAGGCAGCUCGCUGGGACGUAACUGACGCUGAGACGCGAAAGCGUGGGGAGCAAACAGG
rnacentral:rRNA from 1 species